UACGUAGGUGGCGAGCGUUGUCCGGAUUUACUGGGCGUAAAGCGCACGCAGGCGGCCUGUCAAGUCUAGGGUGAAAUCUCCUGGCUCAACCAGGAGAGGUCUCUGGAUACUGGCAGGCUUGAGGGCAGCAGAGGAGAGCAGAAUUCCCGGUGUAGCGGUGAUAUGCGUAGAUAUCGGGAGGAAUACCAGUGGCGAAGGCGGCUCUCUGGGCUGUCCCUGACGCUGAGGUGCGAAAGCGUGGGGAGCAAACCGG
rnacentral:rRNA from 1 species